GGAAGGGGUUUUUGGAGGGUUUGGAGUGUAGGGAGGUUGAGAAAUAGGAGAGGGAGUGUUUGGAGGGGUUGGGACAUAAGGUUGGUUGCCAGGGGAAGGUGUUUUUGGAGGAGUGGGAACAUUUGGAGGACUAUAAGAAGGAGACGGUGUUUUUGGAGGCGUUGGAAUAUAGGGUGGUUGGUUACGAGGAGAAGGAGCAUUUGGAGGACUAUAAGCUGGAGAAGGUGUUUUUGGAGGAGUGGGAACAUUUGGAGGACUAUAAGAAGGAGAAGGUGUUUUUGGAGGUGUAGGAACAUAGGGUGGAUGGUUACCCGGGGAAGGAGCUAUUGGGGGGGCGUAAAUAGGAGAAGGUGUUUUGGGAGGUGUUGGAACAUUAGGAGGAGUAUAAACAGGGGAAGGAGUUUGUGGAGGAGUUGGAAUAAAUGGAGGAUGAUUAGUAGGUGAAGGUGCUUUAGGAGGAACAUAGGGAGGACUGUGAAUAGGAGAAGGUGUUUUUGGAGGGGUUGGAACAUAAGGUGGAUAAGGAAUUUUUGGAGGAGUUUGAGGAGGUGUUGGAACAUAAGGUGCUUUUGGAGGAGUAAUUGGAAC
rnacentral:lncRNA from 1 species